CUUUCACUGCAUGAAAAAGAGCAACGUGAACAUUCUGCUAAUCUUCUGCUUUGAGAAAUGGAACGUCAUGAGGCAUAUGUCUGCAGACUCGUGGGGAGCCCAUGGGAGCGGCGCUGGUGCUGCUAGCUCAGAUCUAUUGUGCUGGGCUGUUGGGGGUCUGAGUGGCCGGUCAUCUGUUGUGUGGUGGUGGAGAUUAUGCAGAUUUAUCAGGAACAGCUGAUCCUUGUACCAACCUCCUUUACACCUAAUUAGCCUCAUUAACAGCCUCACCUGAACUCAGCGUGCAGCGCGGCCACCUGGGAGCCACCAGCAGUCCCAUGUCUCAGCUCUCCUCCCUUAAUGACGUGUGGAGUUUAAUUAAACACAAUCUCAGUCAUCUCACCUGUCAGCUCUUCUCUUUCUGCCAGCUCAGUGUCUGGCCCCCUGGUCUGUUCCAGGGGGUCUUUAAUGAAGUGGUCUCCUCCAUCGAUCCUGCUGAACAUUGGGUCUCCUUCCUCUGCUGGGUUGGCUGGCAGCCAUUUGGCUUCGCUCUGUCAGCUCCGCGCGGCUAAUUAGCUCUGUUGUUCUUUUGCCUCCCUGAGAUUUCCUCCCUGUUUCAAGUUGAGGAGGGAAAUGCAAAGAGGGCUGGAUCAGGCAUAACAAUCCAACUGCCACCAGUCCUUACAUUAACAACAUCAUGCUACAGCAUUGGAGAGACAUAGCUUCAUGUAAAAAUAAUUGCCAACAUGUCUGUAUUACAGUGUGUGGAUCCUUGUCAGCAAGUUAUAUUACACUAAUAAACUCUAGUUUACACUAGUAUACUAAUACAC
rnacentral:lncRNA from 1 species